ACAUGUACGCAAUGGUCCAAGGGAUACAGACCUAGGGAAAGACCCCAGGCCAGCUAAAACCUAAGAGGCUAGAAAUGAAAACGCGACAGAAGCAGAGAAUUGCGCACGGCCACAGGAGGAUCAAACCAGGAGCCUCAAAGCGGCCAGGGUCCAGCAGGCUCCAACACGGAUGAAGUUGUUUUCCCCCGGGGACCAAAGGGUUAAAACGACGCCGCUCCAACCCAGUCUCCUCUAUGCUGGAGGGGAGCAGAAUCCACCUGUCCCCUUCUUAGGCAAACCCCGCUGGUUGUCCUGAGGGUCGCCCUAGCUCUCUGGCCACAACUUGCCCCUCUGUGCGCGGCCCUUGCCUGCGCCUUUGCGCGCUACCCAAAACUUUGCGCACACUGCGGCCGCCGCCUGGCCGUUCAGCGCGGCGAAACGCGCCACCAAGUCCAAGAGCUGCGGACAGCCCUUCUGCAGCCACCACCGCUUGGCUUUGGGCUUCAGACUUUUCUUUCCUCCGCCUCCAGUCCCCAUGCAGGGGCUCCCUCGUGGCUGCGGGAACGCGACUCUCGGCCCGCAGUGGGCAUUGCGGCCGCGGCGCUGCAGACCACCACCCUGCAGGGUCCAUGAGGCGCCCACCCGACGGCUGGACGACUGAAGCCAUCCUUGCCCUGGCGCGCCCACCCUAGCUUUCCACGCCGCGGCCGCCAGGCGCAACACCCUCUCCUACCUUCCAGCCGCUGAAGACCACACUCUGCUCAGCCCUCUCGACACAUCAUCCUCUGGCUGCAGAACAGGGCGACCGGACUCUGCUUUUGUUCCCUGGGGCGGGGAGGUCCGUGCGGGGCCAGGGAGCGGGAGAUGCAACGGAGCUGGGUAUCUGGAAGAAGGGAGGCUCACUCCCGGCAGCUCUAGUGGCGGCAGUAGUGGCGGCAGCAAAGGCAGCGGUGGCAGCAGCAGCAGCAGUAGAGAUAGUGCCGGCUCUCUGCAGGCCACAUCUUUCAUACCUUAUACAUCACUACCGCAUUCCCCCGAAUAGGAGAGCCCAUCAGCAUUUCGCCACCUAACUAAGGAUACGAGCGCCGGCAAGAGUGGCUUGGCUGCACCUGGCCACAGUGUGGGCUCUGCUCAGGAAAGGACCCUCAGCACCCAAUUGCCACUCCCUCCUAAAUCACCACAGCAUCGUCUAUAACCAUCACUGGUCUCCCCGCAGCGCUCUCCUUAGGCUCUCUGCUCCCUAGAAUGUCUGAGCUUUAGGGCAAGCAACAGAGGUUUAUUAUGGAAACUCAUUUCCAACUGCCACUUCCCAGGGAAGGUCUUUGCACGGGAGGUUACUGCUACAGAGGCACCCUCCUGAUUGCACGUGGUUUCUAGAUGCCGCCUUGGGAGCAGGCUUGUGGGCACUGAGAGAGGCAGCCCGCACCAGAGGAUUGGGUCCCUGUUGCUUCAUCAAUAAAAUGGGAAUCAGAUGAGCUUUUCUGUGAGGUUGUGGUGAGAAUAUAAUGAGAUAAACAGAGUGGAACUCCCUAAACAAAGCUUAAUUUCUUCCUUCUUCCAAUGCAAGCCUGCCUUCCCUCAACAACUGUCAGCAACAACCCAGUAAAUAUUUGCCGUGAGCGUACCUCGGUUCUAUGCCAAUCCCUAUUUUAUAGAGUAGAGUACAGCUUGGCUUGGACUUUUCUCUCCAGUGAAGACACAGAAAAUAAGUAAAUCAAGAAGAGUUGUUGAGUGGUAUUGAUCACCAAGAUUGAAAUAGAUGGUGGCAUGCAAUGUGAAGUGACUGGAGAUGCUACUUAGCUUGCUUUUGUCAACUUGACACGAAACUUGAGUCACCUGGGAAGAGAGACCCUCAGACUGAGAUGUUGCUUCCAUUAUAUGGGCCUGUGGGCGUGUCUUCCGGCCACAUUCUUGAUUGAGGGUUAAUGUGGGAGAGGCCAGCCUUCUGUGAGUGGAGCUACUUCUGGGCAGGUGUCUUGGGUUGUCUAAGAAGUAAGCUGAACAAGCCAUGGAGAGCAAGCAGAGUAAUGGCUGAAAACUGAACAGAAGGAAAUAUUGGAAAGGACCUGGCCACUGGAUGGAAGAUUGAGUAAUAAGGAGUCCAGCCACACAUUCAUUCCAGUGAAUUCUUUGCUUGAAAUGCUCACAGGGCCAAGGCAAGAUGCAGCUAAUGCAGAUGAGGCUCCAACUGAACCCACAAACAAUUUCAAUAGACAGAAACAGAGAAACUGGCUUCAGAGACAAACACUUGGGCCAAGGUCCACAAGUGG